UCCUCCUUACAGAGGCAGUCCCGUUAGAGUGCCCAGCUUAACCUGAUGGCAACUAACAGCAAGGGUUGCGCUCGUUAUGGGACUUAACCCGACACCUCACGGCACGAGCUGACGACAACCAUGCAGCACCUAGUUUCUUGCCCCGAAGGGAUGACCUGUUUCCAGAUCAGUCAAUAACUUUCAAGCCCGGGUAAGGUUCCUCGCGUAUCAUCGAAUUAAACCACAUGUUCCUCCGCUUGUGCGGGCCCCCGUCAAUUCCUUUGAGUUUCAUUCUUGCGAACGUACUCCCCAGGUGGAUAGCUUAUCGAUUUCUCUAAGUCACCGACUGUGUAUCGCCGACAACGAGCUAUCAUCGUUUACUGCGUGGACUAC
rnacentral:misc_RNA from 1 species